rnacentral:rRNA from 1 species
AGUGAACGCUGGCGGUAGGCCUAACACAUGCAAGUCGAACGGCAGCACAGUAAGAGCUUGCUCUUACGGGUGGCGAGUGGCGGACGGGUGAGGAAUACAUCGGAAUCUACUUUUUCGUGGGGGAUAACGUAGGGAGACUUACGCUAAUACCGCAUACGACCUACGGUUGAAAGCAGGGGAUCUUCUGACCUUGCGCGAUUGAAUGAGCCGAUGUCGGAUUAGCUAGUUGGCGGGGUAAAGGCCCACCAAGGCGACGAUCCGUAGCUGGUCUGAGAGGAUGAUCAGCCACACUGGAACUGAGACACGGUCCAGACUCCUACGGGAGGCAGCAGUGGGGAAUAUUGGACAAUGGGCGCAAGCCUGAUCCAGCCAUACCGCGUGGGUGAAGAAGGCCUUCGGGUUGUAAAGCCCUUUUGUUGGGAAAGAAAAGCAGCAGGUUAAUACCCCGCUGUUCUGACGGUACCCAAAGAAUAAGCACCGGCUAACUUCGUG